GUCCCUGUAGAGUAAUGGAUAGCGCGUUGGACUUCUUAUCCAAAGUCGUGGUUUCGAAUCCCAUCUGGGAUG